rnacentral:rRNA from 1 species
AUUGAACGCUGGCGGCAGGCCUAAGACAUGCAAGUCGAGCGAGAAAGUGCUUCGGUACGAGUACAGCGGCGGACGGGUGAGUAACGCGUAGGAAUCUACCCAGUAGUGGGGGACAACUCGGGGAAACUCGAGCUAAUACCGCAUACGCCCUACGGGGGAAAGCGGGGGAUCUUCGGACCUCGUGCUAUUGGAUGAGCCUGCGUAAGAUUAGCUUGUUGGUGAGGUAAUGGCUCACCAAGGCUACGAUCUUUAGCUGGUCUGAGAGGAUGAUCAGCCACACCGGGACUGAGACACGGCCCGGACUCCUACGGGAGGCAGCAGUCGGGAAUAUUGCGCAAUGGGCGAAAGCCUGACGCAGCCAUGCCGCGUGUGUGAAGAAGGCCCUAGGGUUGUAAAGCACUUUCAAUUGUGAGGAAAGGUUGACGAUUAAUACUCGUCAGCUGUGACGUUAACUUUAGAAGAAGCACCGGCUAACUCCGUGCCAGCAGCCGCGGUAAUACGGAGGGUGCAAGCGUUAAUCGGAAUUACUGGGCGUAAAGCGCGCGUAGGCGGUUUUUUAAGUCGGAUGUGAAAGCCCCGGGCUCAACCUGGGAACUGCAUCCGAUACUGGAAGACUAGAGUGUGGGAGAGGGAGGUAGAAUUCCAUGUGUAGCAGUGAAAUGCGUAGAUAUGUGGAGGAAUACCAGUGGCGAAGGCGGCCUCCUGGCUCGACACUGACGCUGAGGUGCGAAAGCGUGGGGAGCAAACGGGAUUAGAUACCCCGGUAGUCCACGCCGUAAACGAUGUCUACUAGCUGUAGGGGUACUUGAGACCUUUGUAGCGCAGCUAACGCACUAAGUAGACCGCCUGGGGAGUACGGCCGCAAGGUUA